GAAACGGCUACCACAUCUAAGGAAGGCAGCAGGCGCGUAAAUUACCCACUCCCAGUUCGGGGAGGUAGUGACGAAAAAUAACAAUACAGGACUCAUAUCCGAGGCCCUGUAAUUGGAAUGAGUACACUUUAAAUCCUUUAACAAGGACCAAUUGGAGGGCAAGUCUGGUGCCAGCAGCCGCGGUAAUUCCAGCUCCAAUAGCGUAUAUUAAAGUUGUUGCGGUUAAAACGUUCGUAGUUGAAUUUGUGCUUCAUACGGGUAGUACAACUACGAAUGUGGAUUGUACAUUACCUUAUGUAUGCAAGCGUAUUAUCGGUGGAGUUCUAAUACAUAAUAGUAUUAACGUAUUGUUAUGUAUACCUCCUAUCUAAACCUGCUUCAGUGCUCUUUACCGAGUGCUGUUGUGGGCCGGUACAAUUACUUUGAACAAAUUAGAGUGCUUAAAGCAGGCUCCAAAUGCCUGAAUAUUUUGUGCAUGGAAUAAUGAAAUAAGACUUCUGAUCUAUCUUCAUUGGUUUUUAGAUCAAGAGGUAAUGAUUAAUAGAAGCAGUUUGGGGGCAUUAGUAUUACGACGCGAGAGGUGAAAUUCUUGGACC
rnacentral:rRNA from 1 species